AUCUCCCUCUUUCUUCAGGCCUAACACAUGCAAGUCGAACGAACCUUUCGGGGUUAGUGGCGGACGGGUGAGUAACACGUGGGAACGUGCCUUUAGGUUCGGAAUAACUCAGGGAAACUUGUGCUAAUACCGAAUGUGCCCUUCGGGGGAAAGAUUUAUCGCCUUUAGAGCGGCCCGCGUCUGAUUAGCUAGUUGGUUGAGGUAAUGGCUCACCAAGGCGACGAUCAGUAGCUGGUCUGAGAGGAUGAUCAGCCACAUUGGGACUGAGACACGGCCCAAACUCCUACGGGAGGCAGCAGUGGGGAAUCUUGCGCAAUGGGCGAAAGCCUGACGCAGCCAUGCCGCGUGAAUGAUGAAGGUCUUAGGAUUGUAAAAUUCUUUCACCGGGGACGAUAAUGACGGUACCCGGAGAAGAAGCCCCGGCUAACUUCGUG
rnacentral:rRNA from 1 species